rnacentral:rRNA from 1 species
GGAGCCGGAGGGAAACCGAGUCUUAACCGGGCGUUAAGUUGCAGGGUAUAGACCCGAAACCCGGUGAUCUAGCCAUGGGCAGGUUGAAGGUUGGGUAACACUAACUGGAGGACCGAACCGACUAAUGUUGAAAAAUUAGCGGAUGACCUGUGGCUGGGGGUGAAAGGCCAAUCAAACCGGGAGAUAGCUGGUUCUCCCCGAAAGCUAUUUAGGUAGCGCCUCGUGAAUUCAUCUCCGGGGGUAGAGCACUGUUUCGGCUAGGGGGCCAUCCCGGCUUACCAACCCGAUGCAAACUGCGAAUACCGGAGAAUGUUAUCACGGGAGACACACGGCGGGUGCUAACGUCCGUCGUGAAGAGGGAAACAACCCAGACCGCCAGCUAAGGUCCCAAAGUCAUGGUUAAGUGGGAAACGAUGUGGGAAGGCCCAGACAGCCAGGAUGUUGGCUUAGAAGCAGCCAUCAUUUAAAGAAAGCGUAAUAGCUCACUGGUCGAGUCGGCCUGCGCGGAAGAUGUAACGGGGCUAAACCAUGCACCGAAGCUGCGGCAGCGACGCUUAUGCGUUGUUGGGUAGGGGAGCGUUCUGUAAGCCUGUGAAGGUGGCCUGUGAGGGUUGCUGGAGGUAUCAGAAGUGCGAAUGCUGACAUAAGUAACGAUAAAGCGGGUGAAAAGCCCGCUCGCCGGAAGACCAAGGGUUCCUGUCCAACGUUAAUCGGGGCAGGGUGAGUCGACCCCUAAGGCGAGGCCGAAAGGCGUAGUCGAUGGGAAACGGGUUAAUAUUCCCGUACUUGGUGUUACUGCGAAGGGGGGACGGAGAAGGCUAUGUUGGCCGGGCGACGGUUGUCCCGGUUUAAGCGUGUAGGUGUGUGUUCCAGGUAAAUCCGGUUCACUUUAACACUG